UUAAUAACCGAGAUCUCGCAACAUGCUAAAUUUACACUUUGUCUUCUAAAUAUGUUAUCACGACCCGAAUUCUAACCUAUCCUGAUGGCGCCUAACAUGGUACUAGGCAAUCCGACAUCCGACAUUUACGAAUAACUCCAAUACUUUUAAUAGAAAAUGGAUUUAAAGCAGUUUAAAUAAUAAAACUUCUCAUAAAGAAGAUUGAAAAUCCAAAACACAACGCGAAAAUUCCCAACAUCGGGGUGUCACUGAGUACACAAGCAUCUAAAUAUCAUAAAUUUGGAAAAUAUGGUAACUAAUAGUCUAAAAGUAAAUACAAUCGGUGGAAGGAUAGGGAAGGAGAAACAAUGUCUGCAAAAACGCCGAACGACUACCUCAAAAUCUUGGAAGGGUCAACCGCACAGUACAACACCCACUGUGUCCGAAAAUACCUAGAUCUGCACACAAAGUGCAGGGCGUAGCGUGAAUACAACCAACUCAGUAAGUAACAAGUCUAAAUAAAGAAUUGAAAGUAGUGAUGAACUUUAUACUUAUAGUUCAAUUUCAGUAAUUUCAACAUAGGAAAGUAGACAUGCUUUCAAG
rnacentral:lncRNA from 1 species